CCUACGGGUGACAGCAGUGGGGAAUAUUGCACAAUGGGGGAAACCCUGAUGCAGCGACGCCGCGUGAGUGAAGAAGUAUUUCGGUACGUAAAGCUCUAUCAGCAGGGAAGAAAAUGACGGUACCUGACUAAGAAGCCUCGGCUAACUACGUGCCAGCAGCCGCGGUAAUACGUAGGGGGCAAGCGUUAUCCGGAUUUACUGGGUGUAAAGGGAGCGUAGACGGCAGCGCAAGUCUGGAGUGAAAUCCCAUGGCUUAACCAUGGAACUGCUUUGGAAACUGUGCAGCUAGAGUGCAGGAGAGGUAAGCGGAAUUCCUAGGGUAGCGGUGAAAUGCGUAGAUAUUAGGAGGAACACCAGUGGCGAAGGCGGCUUACUGGACUGUAACUGACGUUGAGGCUCGAAAGCGUGGGGAGCAAACAGGAUUAGAUACCCGAGUAGUC
rnacentral:rRNA from 1 species